AUUGAACGCUGGCGGCAGGCCUAACACAUGCAAGUCGAGCGGAUGAGAGGAGCUUGCUCCUCGAUUCAGCGGCGGACGGGUGAGUAAUGCCUAGGAAUCUGCCUAGUAGUGGGGGACAACGUUUCGAAAGGAACGCUAAUACCGCAUACGUCCUACGGGAGAAAGUGGGGGAUCUUCGGACCUCACGCUAUUAGAUGAGCCUAGGUCGGAUUAGCUAGUUGGUAGGGUAAAGGCCUACCAAGGCGACGAUCCGUAACUGGUCUGAGAGGAUGAUCAGUCACACUGGAACUGAGACACGGUCCAGACUCCUACGGGAGGCAGCAGUGGGGAAUAUUGGACAAUGGGCGAAAGCCUGAUCCAGCCAUGCCGCGUGUGUGAAGAAGGCCUUCGGGUCGUAAAGCACUUUAAGUUGGGAGGAAGAGCUCAUAGCGAAUACCUGUGAGUUUUGACGUUACCAACAGAAUAAGCACCGGCUAACUUCGUGCCAGCAGCCGCAGUAA
rnacentral:rRNA from 1 species